rnacentral:rRNA from 1 species
UACGGAGGGUGCAAGCGUUGUUCGGAAUCAUUGGGCGUAAAGCGCGUGUAGGCGGCUUGGCAAGUCAGUUGUGAAAGCCCGGGGCCCAACCCCGGAAUUGCAUCUGAAACUGCCUGGCUAGAGUCCCGGAGAGGAAGGCAGAAUUCCCGGUGUAGGGGUGAAAUCCGUAGAUAUCGGGAGGAACACCUGUGGCGAAGGCGGCCACCUGGUUGGAUACUGACGCUGAGACGCGAAAGCGUGGGGAGCAAACAGG